GGAGGUCGCUUGAAAUGCAGGUGCAGCAGGACAUUCUUCUGAGCUAAAAGCAUAUCUAUUUAGUCCCGUCAAACGGAUUAUUACUUUUGCUUCAGCUAACAUAAAGGUCGAAUGCGCCACAAUCGCUGAUUGCAGGAAAACUCGUUCGUAAGACUUGUAAACUCGAUCUCAAAUCAAGUAAGACUACCCGCUGAACUUAA
rnacentral:misc_RNA from 1 species